AUACGAAGGGGGCGAGCGUUAUUCGGAAUCACUGGGCGUAAAGCGUGCGUAGGCGGUCUCGUAAGUUAGGAGUGAAAGCCCAGGGCUCAACCUUGGAAUUGCUCUUAAUACUGCAAGGCUAGAAUCUCGGAGAGGAUAGCGGAAUUUCCAGUGUAGCAGUGAAAUGCGUAGAUAUUGGAAGGAACACCAGUGGCGUAAGCGGCUAUCUGGACGAGUAUUGACGCUGAGGCACGAAAGCGUGGGGAUC
rnacentral:rRNA from 1 species